ACUGACAUGGUGGUGUUUUUAUAGAGGACUCACUGGUGGGGUGACUCUGAAGUCAUUGCCGAAGGAAAAUUGACCAUGAUUAUCCUGAAGGUGAGCUGAGAAAGAGCUGCUCCACGGUCAAGGUUGUGAACAACAAAGGAACGGUUAUCCUUUUAAGGUCUCCCUCCGAGCUUUUGCGGACAAAGACAAAUUAUUUUUUAAAAGGAGCCAGUACAGAGGCACCUGGAACAGUGAGAGUGCUUCUGCCAGGCUCCUUCCCAAGAACUACACUCAGCGCCUCAGCACCAGGCUGCCAUAGCUUUGAACUAUGAGAGCUUGAGUGAUUUGGGAGACUUCCCUGGUGGCACAGUGAUUAAGAAUCUGCCUGCCAACGCAGAGGACACCGUUUCGAGCUCUGGUCCAGGAAGAUCCCACAUGCCGCGAAGCAACUAAGCCAGUGCACCACAACUACUGAGCCUGCAUGCCGCAACUACUGAAGCCCGCGCGCCUAGAGCCCGUGCUCCGCAGCAAGAGGAGCCACCGCAAUGAGAAGUCCGCGCACCGCAGCAAAGAGUAGACCCCGCUCGCCGCAGCUGGAGAAAGUCCACGCACAGCAACAAAGACCGAAUGCAGCCAAAAAUAAAUUUUAAAAAUUAAAAAAAGAAAAAGAGCUUGAGUGAUUUUGAUGCAGCCAAAUUUGGGAACCCUAAAUCUGGUCCAUAGUCUAAACUUUUUUUUAUUUAGACAGUGUGACCCUCACCUCCCUCUCUUUUGGUUUUUCCAAACAAAAACUCACUCAGAAAAAUCUACCUGUAAAAGAGAGAACUUCUUGAAUGAACAGUUCUCUUCCAAAUGAGUACCUGAUCCCCAGUCCACCCAUAUCCCCCACAAUAACUGCAGAAGAACCUCCACAGGUUUAAAAAGCGUUGUUCUAGGGCUAGAACCCCCCACCUUUUUCAAUGGGACACUGAGUCCUAGGGAAGGAAAAUGAGUUUCUAGAAGUGGCUGCUCUCUCUGCUUCCUGCCCCUUCGUACUCUGUCUGGAGACCCCUGAGGGGAUCAGCCAUGGUUGAUGAAGGGAGAACCCCUUGAUUCCUGGCUGGUCAAGAUGACCAGUUGAUGUAAAAAUCGAUGAAGAAGAUGUUUCCACGUGUAUGGAGAGCUUUGGAAUAAAAGCACAAUGCUAAGACCAGCACUGCACCCACUCUGGAAGCCAGAGGCCCUGGGGACAGCCCAGCCCAGCUGCUUUGGAAUGUGGUAGAAGGAAGAGCAAGAGUCUGGCUUUGGAUGGCCCUGAUGCAGGAAGUAUUAUGCAUCCACAGGAGACAUAAUCAUGCCGCCUCCCCUGACCUACGAGAGCGCCGCAGCAGGACUGGAGACGGUCCUCCACUGUACACCAGUGGCUAGUCCAUCUCCAUCGGAACCCUAUGGCUGUAUGAAAAGAAAUGAAUGCAAAACACAAAGCUACCGGGAGCCGAAGCAGCUUCCACGAUGCCUUGUAAGAACUGAAAACAGUUUGGCCGCUCAACUUCCCGGCUUGAUCGAUGACAACACACACAACGAUUUCUUUUUAAUGGUCAAGAGUCAAGCGCAUCCUUGAAGUUGCCUAUUUCUGGAGCCUCAGCUGUUGCCCAAGUCCUGGGCCAUGGUUUCGCUCAGUUUGCUCAGUUUCCCUUGUGUAGUAAAUGUCUACCGGUUUUGUGCAUCCAGCACCCGUGACUGCCUCUUCUAAGGGCACCUCCAUUUUCCUCGAGACCCUCCCCUCCCCCACCCUCAGUCCCUGUGGUUUAGGUUGUGUUGGCUUCACCAGUGGUUCUAGGGAAAGACAUGUGUCUCUGUCCUGGCAUCACUGUGAUUAAUUAGUUCAGGGAUGGGUGUGUGAUUCAUUAGAGCCCAUGAAAUGCAGCCUUGGGUGUUCUUGGCAGUACUCUUAUGAAAGAGGUUGUUAUGGUUUGAACUGUGUCCUCCCCAAAAUACAUAUGUUGAAGUCCUAACUCUAAAUACCUGACAAUAUGACCCCACUGGGGCACAGGAUCGUUGCAGAGGUGAUUAGUUAAAAUGAGGUCUUACCGCAGUAAGUGGGACUCCUAAUACACUGUGACUAGCAUCCUUAUGAAAAGAGGAAAUUUGGACACAGACAGACACACACAUAGGGGAACGCCAUGUAAAGAUGAAAGACUAGGAUGAGGCUUUUACAAGCCAAAGAACACCAAAUAUUUCCAGCAAACCACCAGAAGCUGGGGGAGAGGCAUGGAACAGAUUCUUCCUCCCAGCCUUCAGAAGAAACCAACCCUGGCAACAUUUUGAUCUCAGACUUCUAGUCUCCAGAACCACGAGACAAUCAAUUCCUGUUGUUUAAGCCACUCGAUUUAUGGUACUUUGUUACGGUAGCCCUAGCAGCCUAAUACAGAGGCCCGCUCUCUUUUAUUCCCACGUACUGGGUACUUUGAAAUUUAAGCUUGGCCUGUGCUAUGUGUUCUCCCAAAAUUCCCAUGUUGGAAUCGUAACCCCGACAGAUGGUGGUAUUAGAAGGUGGGGCCUUUGGAAGGUGCCUAAGCCAUGACGGUGGAACCCUCAUGAAUGGGAUCAGCAUCCUCUAAAAGAGGCUCCAGAGAGAUCCCUAGCCCCUUCCACCACGUGAGAACACAAUGGGAAGUCUGACCUGGAAGACAUCCCUCACCCAACCAUGCUGGCACUCUGACGUCGGACUUACGGCCUCCAGAAGUAUGAGAAAUAAAUUC